GAUGAACGCUAGCGACAGGCCUAACACAUGCAAGUCGAGGGGCAGCGGGGUGUGGCAACACACUGCCGGCGACCGGCGCACGGGUGAGUAACGCGUAUGCAACUUGCCUAUCAGAGGGGGAUAACCCGGCGAAAGUCGGACUAAUACCGCAUAAAACAGGGGUUCCGCACGGGGAUAUUUGGUAAAGAUUCAUCGCUGAUAGAUAGGCAUGCGUUCCAUUAGGCAGUUGGCGGGGUAACGGCCCACCAAACCGACGAUGGAUAGGGGUUCUGAGAGGAAGGUCCCCCACAUUGGUACUGAGACACGGACCAAACUCCUACGGGAGGCAGAAGUGAGGAAUAUUGGUCAAUGGCCGGGAGGCUGAACCAGCCAAGUCGCGUGAAGGAUGAAGGUUCUAUGGAUUGUAAACUUCUUUUGUGCGGGAAUAAAGUCGGGGAUGCGUCCCCGUUUGCAUGUACCGUACGAAUAAGCAUCGGCUAACUCCGUGCCAGCAGCCGCGGUAA
rnacentral:rRNA from 1 species